UGGGGAAUAUUGGACAAUGGGGGCAACCCUGAUCCAGCAAUGCCGCGUGUGUGAAGAAGGCCUUCGGGUUGUAAAGCACUUUAGGUGGGGAAGAAGGUGUGUAGUUUAAGAGAUAGCACGCUUGACGGUACCCACAGAAUAAGCACCGGCUAACUCUGUGCCAGCAGCCGCGGUAAUACAGAGGGUGCAAGCGUUAAUCGGAAUUACUGGGCGUAAAGGGCGCGUAGGCGGUUUAUUAAGAUGGAUGUGAAAUCCCUGGGCUUAACCUGGGAACUGCAUCGAUGACUGAUAGACUAGAGUGCAGUAGAGGAUAGUGGAAUUUCCGGUGUAGCGGUGAAAUGCGUAGAGAUCGGAAGGAACACCAGUGGCGAAGGCGGCUAUCUGGACUGACACUGACGCUGAGGCGCGAAAGCGUGGGGAGCAAACAGG
rnacentral:rRNA from 1 species